GACGAACGCUGGCGGCGUGCUUAACACAUGCCAGUCGAACGGAAAGGCCCCCACCUUGGUGGGGGUGCUCGAGUGGCGAACGGGUGAGUAACACGUGGGUGAUCUGCCCUGUACUUCGGGAUAAGCUUGGGAAACUGGGUCUAAUACCGGAUAGGACCAUGGUUUAGUGUCUCAUGGUGGAAAAAUUAUUGUUUUGGUGCAGGAUGAGCUCGCGGCCUAUCAGCUUGUUGGUGGGGUAAUGGCCUACCAAGGCGUCGACGGGUAGCCGGCCUGAGAGGGUGGACGGCCACAUGGGGACUGAGAUACGGUCGAGACGCCUACGGGAGGCAGCAGUGGGGAAUAUUGCACAAUGGGCGCAAGCCUGAUGCAGCGACGCCGCGUGGGGGAUGACGGCCUUCGGGUUGUAAACUCCUUUCGUUAGGGACGAAGCCACACCUUUUUUGGGUGUGGUGACGGUACCUUUGUUAAGAAGCACCGGCUAACUACGUG
rnacentral:rRNA from 1 species